AAACUCUGCCAUCGCAUCAUCAAUGCUACAACCUUCACCAACAUCAUCCUCCUCUUCAUCCUGCUUAGCAGUAUCUCAUUGGCUGCGGAGGACCCCAUCGACCCGAUGUCCUUCAGGAACCAGGUCCUGGCCUACGCUGAUUAUGUCUUCACUUCGGUUUUUACCGCAGAGAUUGUGCUGAAGAUGACCACGUAUGGUGCCUUCUUGCACAAGGGCUCUUUCUGCCGUAAUUCCUUCAACAUCCUGGACCUGAUUGUUGUCGGUGUCUCCCUGCUGUCCAUGGGAAUGGAGUGAGAUUUCAGAGCAAUCUUUUUCUGACAAACAGAAAUAGAGCAGACUUAGAGCGAUAGAAAUGGUUUUUGGACCGUA